AUUGAACGCUGGCGGCAGGCCUAACACAUGCAAGUCGAGCGGAGCGGGGGACGGGUGAGUAAUGCCUAGGAAUCUGCCCGGUAGUGGGGGAUAACGUCCGGAAACGGGCCCUAAUAACGCAUACUUUCAGAUGAGCCUAGGUUGUAUUAGCUAGUUGGUGUGGUAAAGGCCUAACAAGGCGACGAUCCGAAACUGUUCUGAGAGGAUGAUCAGUCACACUGGAACUGAGACACGGUCCAGACUCCUACGGGAGGCAGCAGUGGGGAAUAUUGGACAAUGGGCGAAAGCCUGAUCCAGCCAUGCCGCGUGUGUGAAGAAGGUCUUCGGAUUGUAAAGCACUUUAAGUUGGGAGGCGUUACCAACAGAAUAAGCACCGGCUAACUACGUGCCAGCAGCCGCGGUAAUAC
rnacentral:rRNA from 1 species